UACGAAGGGGGCUAGCGUUGUUCGGAUUUAUUGGGCGUAAAGAGCGUGUAGGCGGCCAAGCAGGUCCGCUGUGAAAACUCGAGGCUCAACCUCGAGACGUCGGUGGAAACCGUUUGGCUAGAGUCCGGAAGAGGAGAGUGGAAUUCCCGGUGUAGCGGUGAAAUGCGCAGAUAUCGGGAAGAACACGCGUGGCGAAGGCGGCUCUCUGGGACGGUACUGACGCUGAGACGCGAAAGCGUGGGGAGCGAACAGG
rnacentral:rRNA from 1 species